CCUACGGGUGACAGCAGUGAGGAAUAUUGGUCAAUGGCCGGAAGGCUGAACCAGCCAAGCCGCGUGAAGGACGAAGGUGCCAAGCAUUGUAAACUUCUUUUGUCAAGGGACAAAAUCAGGCUCGAGAGCCUGACCGAGGGUACUUGAAGAAAAAGCAUCGGCUAACUCCGUGCCAGCAGCCGCGGUAAUACGGAGGAUGCGAGCGUUAUCCGGAUUUAUUGGGUUUAAAGGGUGCGUAGGCGGACUGUUAAGUCAGCGGUAAAAGCCCGGGGCUCAACCCCGUCGAGCCGUUGAAACUGGCGUCCUUGAGUGGGCGAGAAGUAUGCGGAAUGCGUGGUGUAGCGGUGAAAUGCAUAGAUAUCACGCAGAACUCCGAUUGCGAAGGCAGCAUACCGGCGCCCUACUGACGCUGAGGCACGAAAGCGUGGGUAUCGAACAGGAUUAGAUACCCGAGUAGUC
rnacentral:rRNA from 1 species